GCUCAUUAAAUCAGUUAUCGUAUAUUUGAUAGUACCUACUACAUGGAUAACCGUGGUAAUUCUAGAGCUAAUACAUGCUUAAAAUCCCGACUUCGGAAGGGAUGUAUUUAUUAGAUUAAAAACCAAUGCCCUUCGGGGCUCACUGGUGAUUCAUAAUAACUUCUCGAAUCGCAUGGCCUUGUGCCGGCGAUGGUUCAUUCAAAUUUCUGCCCUAUCAACUUUCGACGGCUGGGUAUUGGCCAGCCGUGGUUACAACGGGUAACGGAGGGUUAGGGCUUGACCCCGGAGAAGGAGCCUGAGAAACGGCUACUACAUCCAAGGAAGGCAGCAGGCGCGCAAAUUACCCAAUCCCGAUACGGGGAGGUAGUGACAAUAAAUACUGAUACAGGGCUCUUUUGGGUCUUGUAAUUGGAAUGAGUACAAUUUAAAUCCCUUAACGAGGAACAAUUGGAGGGCAAGUCUGGUGCCAGCAGCCGCGGUAAUUCCAGCUCCAAUAGCGUAUAUUAAAGUUGUUGCAGUUAAAAAGCUCGUAGUUGAACCUUGGGCCUGGCUGGCCGGUCUGCCUCACCGCAUGCACUGGUCCGGCCGGGUCUUUCCCUCUGGGGAUCCGCAUGCCCUUCAUUGGGUGUGUCGGGGAACCAGGACUUUUACUGUGAAAAAAUUAGAGUGUUCAAAGCAGGCCUAUGCUCGAAUACAUUAGCAUGGAAUAAUAGAAUAGGACGUGUGGUUCUAUUUUGUUGGUUUCUAGGACCGCCGUAAUGAUUAAUAGGGACAGUCGGGGGCAUCAGUAUUCAAUCGUCAGAGGUGAAAUUCUUGGAUCGAUUGAAGACUAACUACUGCGAAAGCAUUUGCCAAGGAUGUUUUCAUUAAUCAGGAACGAAAGUUAGGGGAUCGAAAACGAUCAGAUACCGUUGUAGUCUUAACCAUAAACUAUGCCGACUAGGGAUCGGACGAUGUUAUUUCUUGACUCGUUCGGCACCUUACACGAAAGUAAAGUUUUUGG
rnacentral:rRNA from 1 species